rnacentral:rRNA from 1 species
GUCGACGCGUUGGCCCAAUUGAUUGAUGGUGCUUGCACCUGAUUGAUUUUGGCCGCCAACGAGUGGCGGACGGGUGAGUAACACGUAGGUAACCUGCCCAGAAGCGGGGGACAACAUUUGGAAACAGAUGCUAAUACCGCAUAACAACGUUGUUCGCAUGAACAACGCUUAAAAGAUGGCUUCUCGCUAUCACUUCUGGAUGGACCUGCGGUGCAUUAGCUUGUUGGUGGGGUAACGGCCUACCAAGGCGAUGAUGCAUAGCCGAGUUGAGAGACUGAUCGGCCACAAUGGGACUGAGACACGGCCCAUACUCCUACGGGAGACAGCAGUAGGGAAUCUUCCACAAUGGGCGCAAGCCUGAUGGAGCAACACCGCGUGAGUGAAGAAGGGUUUCGGCUCGUAAAGCUCUGUUGUUAAAGAAGAACACGUAUGAGAGUAACUGUUCAUACGUUGACGGUAUUUAACCAGAAAGUCACGGCUAACUACGUGCCAGCAGCCGCGGUAAUACGUAGGUGGCAAGCGUUAUCCGGAUUUAUUGGGCGUAAAGAGAGUGCAGGCGGUUUUCUAAGUCUGAUGUGAAAGCCUUCGGCUUAACCGGAGAAGUGCAUCGGAAACUGGAUAACUUGAGUGCAGAAGAGGGUAGUGGAACUCCAUGUGUAGCGGUGGAAUGCGUAGAUAUAUGGAAGAACACCAGUGGCGAAGGCGGCUACCUGGUCUGCAACUGACGCUGAGACUCGAAAGCAUGGGUAGCGAACAGGAUUAGAUACCCUGGUAGUCCAUGCCGUANACGAUGAGUGCUAGGUGUUGGAGGGUUUCCGCCCUUCAGUG